rnacentral:rRNA from 1 species
UACGUAGGGCGCAAGCGUUGUCCGGAAUUAUUGGGCGUAAAGAGUAUGUAGGCGGCCUUGUAAGUCAGUUGUGAAAGCCCCGGGCUCAACCCGGGAAGUGCAAUUGACUACUGCUUGGCUUGAAUGUGGAAGAGGGCAGUAGAAUUCCAGGUGGUAGUGGUGAAAUACGUAGAUAUCUGGAGGAAUACCGGUGGCGAAGGCGGCUGCCUGGUCCUACAUUGACGCUGAGAUACGAAAGCGUGGGGAGCAAACAGG